rnacentral:rRNA from 1 species
GUAGGGAAUAUUGCACAAUGGAGGAAACUCUGAUGCAGCGACGCCGCGUGAGUGAUGAAGGCCUUCGGGUUGUAAAGCUCUGUCGUAUGGGAAUAAUAAACUGAAUGUACCAUACAAGAAAGGAUCGGCUAACUUCGUGCCAGCAGCCGCGGUAAGACGAGGGAUCCUAGCGUUGUUCGGAAUCAUUGGGCGUAAAGCGGGCGCAGGUGGCUUGGUAAGUCAAGUGUGAAAGCCCAGGGCUCAACCCUGGAAGUGCAUUUGAUACUGCUAAGCUUGAGUGCGAGAGAGGUUAUCAGAAUUCCUGGUGUAGUGGUGAAAUACGUAGAUAUCAGGAGGAAUACCGGAGGCGAAGGCGGAUAACUGGCUCGACACUGACACUCAGGCCCGAAAGCGUGGGGAUCAAACAGGAUUAGAUACCCCAGUAGUCC